rnacentral:rRNA from 1 species
UACGGAGGGUGCAAGCGUUGUUCGGAUUCAUUGGGCGUAAAGGGCGUGUAGGCGGCCUGUUAAGUCUGAAGUGAAACCCCAGGGCUCAACCAUGGAACUGCUUCGGAUACUGGGAGGCUUGAGUACUCUAGAGGGCAGUGGAAUUGCCGGUGUAGCAGUGAAAUGCGUAGAGAUCGGCAGGAACACCAGUGGCGAAGGCGACUGCCUGGGGAGAAACUGACGCUGAGGCGCGAAAGCUGGGGGAGCAAACGGG